UACGGGGGGUGCGAGCGUUAAUCGGAAUUACUGGGCGUAAAGCGUGCGCAGGCGGCUAUGCAAGACAGAUGUGAAAUCCCCGGGCUCAACCUGGGAACUGCAUUUGUGACUGCAUGGCUAGAGUACGGUAGAGGGGGAUGGAAUUCCGCGUGUAGCAGUGAAAUGCGUAGAUAUGCGGAGGAACACCGAUGGCGAAGGCAAUCCCCUGGACCUGUACUGACGCUCAUGCACGAAAGCGUGGGGAGCAAACAGG
rnacentral:rRNA from 1 species